UACGGAGGAUGCGAGCGUUAUCCGGAUUUAUUGGGUUUAAAGGGUGCGUAGGCGGAUCGUUAAGUCAGUGGUCAAAUUGAGGGGCUCAACCCCUUCCCGCCACUGAAACUGGCGAUCUUGAGUGGAAGAGAGGUAUGCGGAAUGCGUGGUGUAGCGGUGAAAUGCAUAGAUAUCACGCAGAACCCCGAUUGCGAAGGCAGCAUGCCGGCUUCCUACUGACGCUGAAGCACGAAAGCGUGGGGAUCGAACAGG
rnacentral:rRNA from 1 species